rnacentral:lncRNA from 1 species
AAAAAGUUUCUGUCACAAAUAUAUAUUCUAAAGAUCAAAAUGACCAAAAUAUUUUAUUAAAGAGGUAAAUAUACAUUUAUACCCCUAAGGUACUUAUCCAAACCUUAGGUUUUAGAGUUAAGGGGUGAAAAUUUGAGAUUGAGAUUUAAAAUUUUAUAAAAUAAAAAAUAAAUAUUAAAAAAAUUAAAAAUAAAUAAUUUUAAAAUAGUUUCAAAAAUUAUUUUCGAUUAAAAAAAGAAAAUUUGAAAAAAAUAAAAAAAAAUUCGAAAAAAAAAUUUUCAAAAAAAAAUAUUUUUAUAAAAAAGUUUGAAUUUGAAAACAUAUAAUCUAAAACUAUAAAAAAAUUAUUUUUUAUUUUUUUUAAUUUUUUAUAUAUCUAGGGUCUUUUUAGCUAUUAAAUGAAACAUUUUGGUCAUUUUCCUC